CAGCCGCCGCGGUAAUACGGAGGGGGCUAGCGUUGUUCGGAAUUACUGGGCGUAAAGCGCACGUAGGCGGCUUGGUAAGUUAGAGGUGAAAGCCUGGAGCUCAACUCCAGAAUUGCCUUUAAGACUGCCGAGCUAGCAGGUGAGAGAGGUAAGUGGAAUUCCGAGUGUAGAGGUGAAAUUCGUAGAUAUUCGGAAGAACACCAGUGGCGAAGGCGGCUUACUGGCUCAUACUGGACGCUGAGGUGCGAAAGCGUGGGGAGCAAACAGGAUUAGAUACCCCUGUAGUCCCUGUCUCUUAUAA
rnacentral:rRNA from 1 species